rnacentral:rRNA from 1 species
CGUGCAGUCGAGCGCGAAUAGGGGCAACCCUUAGUAGAGCGGCGCACGGGUGCGUAACACGUGGAUAAUCUGCCUGGAUGCCUGGGAUAACCAGUCGAAAGAUUGGCUAAUACCGGAUAAGCCCACGGUCUCUUCGGAGGCUGAGGGAAAAGGUGGCCUCUGUAUACAAGCUAUCACAACCAGAUGAGUCCGCGGCCCAUCAGCUAGUUGGCGGGGUAAUGGCCCACCAAGGCGACGACGGGUAGCUGGUCUGAGAGGACGAUCAGCCACACUGGAACUGAGACACGGUCCAGACUCCUACGGGAGGCAGCAGUGGGGAAUUUUGCGCAAUGGGCGAAAGCCUGACGCAGCAACGCCGCGUGUGUGAUGAAGGUCUUUGGAUUGUAAAGCACUUUCGACCGGGACGAAACCGUAAAGCCUAAUACGCUUUGCCUUGACGGUACCGGGAGAAGAAGCACCGGCUAACUCUGUGCCAGCAGCCGCGGUAAUACAGAGGGUGCAAGCGUUGUUCGGAAUUAUUGGGCGUAAAGCGCGUGUAGGCGGCUUUGCAAGUCGGGUGUGAAAGCCCUCAGCUCAACUGAGGAAGUGCGCCCGAAACUGCAGAGCUUGAGUGCCGGAGAGGGUGGCGGAAUUCCCCAAGUAGAGGUGAAAUUCGUAGAUAUGGGGAGGAACACCGGUGGCGAAGGCGGCCACCUGGACGGUAACUGACGCUGAGACGCGAAAGCGUGGUAGCAACAGGAUUAGAUACCCUGGGUAGUCCACGCCGUAAACGAUGAGAACUAGGUGUCGUGGGAGUUGAC